AUUGAACGCUGGCGGCAUGCUUUACACAUGCAAGUCGAACGGCAGCGCGGGGCAACCUGGCGGCGAGUGGCGAACGGGUGAGUAAUACAUCGGAACGUACCCAGAAGCGGGGGAUAACGUAGCGAAAGUUACGCUAAUACCGCAUACGUUCUACGGUAGAAAGUGGGGGACCUUCGGGCCUCAUGCUUUUGGAGCGGCCGAUGUCUGAUUAGCUAGUUGGUGAGGUAAAGGCUCACCAAGGCGACGAUCAGUAGCUGGUCUGAGAGGACGACCAGCCACACUGGGACUGAGACACGGCCCAGACUCCUACGGGAGGCAGCAGUGGGGAAUUUUGGACAAUGGGCGCAAGCCUGAUCCAGCAAUGCCGCGUGAGUGAAGAAGGCCUUCGGGUUGUAAAGCUCUGUUGUCAGGGAAGAAACGGCUGAGGAUAAUACCUUCGGCUAAUGACGGUACCUGAAGAAUAAGCACCGGCUAACUACGUG
rnacentral:rRNA from 1 species